UCUUUUAGGUUUCUCCUUCGAUUUUUUGUUUCACAUUCGGAUUUUCUUUUCUCCUUCAUGAUUUGUUUUCAUUUUCUUCAUUUUUCUUCGUUUCGCUCGUGCGGCUUGUGCUUCGAAGAGGAUUGUUUGACUUCAUUUCGUUUCGUUUGUUCGGCUUCGUGCUUCGUUUGCUUUGUGCUUGAUUUUGCUUGUUCGUCUUCGUGCUUCGUUUCGCUCCGUUCAUCUACUGGGUUAGGAAUAUGUUCCAACAUGGUUUGAUAAUUUCAGUGCAAAUGUGGUUGUUGAAGGCACAACUGUCAAUUUAGGCCUCUGGGAUACUACAGAGGAUUACAACAGGCUGAGGCCUUUGAGCUACAAGGGGGAAGAUGUCUUUGUCCUGGCUUUCUCUUUAGUUAGUCAUGCAAGCUAUGAAAAUGUGUUGAAGAAGGUAUUAUAGGUUCUCAGUGGGUUCCUGAGCUGCAGCAUUUUGCUCCUAGCAUCCCAGUGGUGCUAGUUGGCACCAAAUUAAUGUGUUGCUAGGAUUAUAUCAGGGAUCCGAAUAGGAGAUUUGCCGCUGACACAGUUGCCACCAUUGGUCUACGUGCUCAACGACUUCCUAACAUUGCAGCUAGAUGUCAAUUGGGGAGCUAUGAAUGUGCGUAUAAUGAAAGGUCAAGUGGAAGGUCCAAACAUGGAAGACAUUAGGACCAAGUAGGCUUCUUUUAUUUUAAAUGUUAGUAAUUUGUAGAAAUUUGACUACACUUUAGUCUUGUAUA